GGAUUGGGCGGCGGCGCUCGAGCGCUGAUUGGGCAGCGCUGCCGGCCCGCGGUAUAAAGGGCCGGCGGGGCGGGUGCGGGCGGUUGUGUGUGAGGGCUGAGGGUGCGGCCCCGCUGCUGCCCGGGCUGCGGAGGGGAGAGCGCCUUGGCCGCUGGCCUGGCUCGUGGUUUCCCCUGGGGCGGAGGCGAGUUGUGCUUCCUGCGGGGAGAGAGAAGGGCCUUGGGAAGCUGCUCCAUGAGCCACAGCUGUGCCCAGCCCGGCAGUCUGUCCAGCACCCUUUCUGCUGUUGGGAGAGCACGAGGUGGAUGGAGAGGAUCCCCAGGCAUCUGCAGGCACAAGGGACUCGUACAACUUCGAUUUUCCUACAACCCUCGUGAGAGGGACUUCCAGGAUACUCUUGGGUAAUGUGCCAGUAAGAGUACAAAGAGUAAAACUAAAGUCAGGUUUGUUCUGGAGUAUGUUGCACUUGUGCAAAGCUCCUUCCCUCUGUAUGUUUUCUGUUCUCAAAGCACAGUCUUGGGUUCCUGGGCACUUCCUAUUAAAUGAUUCCCUGAAAAUAAUUUUGUACUGAAAGGGGAAAGGAGCUGUCUGUGGGAGGUCAGAUGUCCCUGGAAAAACUUUGUAUUUUUUCACUCAGUAAGCUCUUAAAAUAUCUCACAGUGUGCAGGAAUGCCUGGCUUCUAAAAGUCCCCAGCUGAGUCUUAGAGGCUUCUCUGAAGAGCUGAUUUCAGGCAGCAGAAUUGCCCCCCAGGAGGGACUCUGUGCCUGCUCUCCCGUGGCUCCA